AUCCACGCAGCCCGCCAGCUUCCUGGGCCAGUCAGACCUUGGGAGAGGGCUGUGGUGGACAAGUGAGUUUGACUCAUGGGAAGAAUACCACCACCAAGAAUAUGAACAGAUGCCGGAGGAACCUGGACAGUGGAAGCCGGAGAGCAUGGUGACUGAGCAGGAACUGGCAGGGGAAGAGAGGGCCACAGAGGAAGCAAGCAGAACCCGCGGGUGGCUCAGCCAUCACAGUAGUUAGGUACCCAGGUGGAGAGCAGAGGCAUCCAGCAGCAAAGCCACUUGAAGACAACCCAGCCACCCAGCCUCCUUCUGACUCCCAAUUGGGCCUGUGUUCUUGGAGCUGGUCAGACCCUGGGGCUCUCCUUGCCCAUGUUGCUCACCUUGAGGGGACUCGCCACCUCCUACCUGGGUAACCUGAGAACCUCCCUGUUCCCCUGUCCGAGGAACAAGUGCUGACUUAAUACAUCUCUCUGGGCUGACCCAACACAGCCGCAGUGCUUGGGGCUGAGCCAGAUGACCUUCAAGGCCCUUUUUGGCUGUGAUUUUUAUUUUGAUGGGAGAUCUUAGGGGGAAAGUGAGAGGAGCCCAUUAUUCUAAUAGGAAAGGAAGAGGCCAGCACCAUCUCGGGAUGCCAGGGAGGCUCUGGGGGGCAGUCACCAAGCCCCCCUCCCUCUUCCUGACCUUGGCAGAAACUAUGGUCUGCCCUGGGCUCAGUUCUUUCUGACCUUUCCUGUGCCUGUCUCUGCCUAACUAAACAGCAUUUUCUAAAAACGUGGAUUUUUUUCCCCACUCUUAGUAGAUAUAUAUAAGAAAAAUAUAUAUAAAUGAGAAAAGAAAUCAGAUGAGGAAAAUAUAAUUAUUCCUAUUGCCUAAAGAUGGCAAUUGUCAACAAAUUCAACUAUUUUUCUUUACACUCCUUCCACCUAAUAUUACAUCAUGAGCAUUUGCAAGUCAUUAAAUGUUUUAUGGAAAUUAGAUUUUCAUAACUACCCGGUAUGAUACCAUACAAUAAUUCCAAAAUGUAAUUCACUGUUUUUAAAGUUCCCCUCACUUUUCAAUGUUUUGAAACCACUUUGAAGAAGGUACAUGAAUAUUCACGUGAUCUGAGUUAUUUUGGAUGGCUACUAAGAACGGAUGUCUUGGUCAGCUUGGGCUGCUGAAGCAACACCGUGGACCAGGCCUUAGAAGCAACAGUUGUUUGUUUCUCGUGGUUCUGGAAACUGGGAGUCCUGAACAAGGACGCAGGUGGCUCAGAUUCCGUGAGACUGCACCAUGAAGGAAGGGAAGGGAAGCCCUGGGGCCUGAUUGAAAUGUGGCUGGAAGGGCCAGUUUCUAAACUUAACACCUAACAGUUCUAGGAAUGGGAGGCUUUGCCUUGUAGAGGGCUGGAGGGGGUGUGUCCAUUCCCCCCAGCAGGAGGGCACCCUGCAGAUGGCCCCCUGGGAAGCAGACUGAGCCCUUAUCAGACCUGCCCAGAUCUUGCACGUCCCAGGCCCCAGAACUGUGAGCCAGGAAUUUCUGUGUUUCACCCAUAUAACGUAUUUUGUUACAGCAGCUCAAAUGGACUAAGAUGUCAAUUCAGACAACCACUGAAUUCUCCAUGUGCUCUAUUCUCCCGCUACUCGCCGCUUUUUAAAACUGGACCCCUAGACAAACAGCUUUGCCACUGACCCGCUGAAGGAAAGUGGGUGGCUUGGUCGACUUUGGUACCUCAUUCUUUGCAAGAUGAGGGGAAUCAGGUCAUUCUUUCCCAGAGAAUCCCUCUAGGGGUUAAGUUAACCAGGAUUAAAUCAGUUAAUACAUGUGAAGGGCUUAGAACCAUGCCAGACACCAACAACACUCCUUAAUGCCUGGGCAUCUGGGGACGCCACCUCACCAUUGAAGAAGGGCCGACUGCGAGGUCCUUUCCUCCCUUCUGCAGUGGCUGCCACUAACCCGGACCAGAUUUGCUGGCCAUGUGACAUUAGCUAGCGCCUGUGCCCGAGCCUCGGUCUCUUCUGUGAAUCCUCACAGCCCUGCAGAGACGGUGAACUCUGAGGUCCACGUGGAGGGUGAGGUCGUGAUGUUUUGCCUCCUCAGAGCUUAACCUGCCAAAUGGCUCCCCUUUCAGUCCGGGAGGCUGGUGGUCUGAGAUAGCGCGCGGGCUUGGUGAUUCCUCCCAGGUCUGAAGGAGGUGUCUUCUCCAGGCCGUCUCAUUGGCUUGUAUAAGGCCACCUUCAUGUCCGCACAGCACUUUCCUGUGUCUCUUUUCCAGAAAGACACCAGGCCUAUCAGAGCAGGGCCCAGAGUGACCUCAUCUGACAUGGUCACCUAUUUAACAGCCUUGUCUCACUUGAGUUGGGGUCACAUUUGAGUUGCUGAGGUGGGGCUUCAGCACGUGACUUUGAGGGAACAUGGGUCAUCCCAGGGCCCUCAGUGAGGGCCUCUGCCUGUGUCACAACUGGAGGUAAAGUGGCCGUGGGUGGAGCCAUUUCCACGGCAGAGAGACCUGAUGCCCGAGAAAGAGGCGAUUCCCUUCAUCUUCUUCUGAGCAGAAGACCAAUAAGUGCCUGGUUCCACUUGGAGGUUCCACUUUGACUCAGGGAAUGCCCUUUGCUGAAAAGUGGUUAUUUAAGUCGGUCCCUUGUCCUGUGUAUCUGUCAGCUAGAGCUAAAUUUUACACAUGGAGACUCUUCGUAGAACUUGGAGGAAAUUAAGAACAUCAGGUUAAACCCAGAGUCCGCAUAUCCAGGAGGAUCGUCCAGUCCAGGAGGAUCGGCCAGUGUAGCCCACGUGUCUGGCUGGAUGCUCCCCCUUCUGCAGGAGGCUGUCCUUGAGCGCGAUCACCCACACCAGCGUGAGCACCGGGAAGACAAUGCUGCCAGGGUGCCUCCCCUCCCAGGGCCAUGGUGAGGAACACGGAGGGCCCAGGAACCUAGCGGAAACCCGACGGUCCUCAGCACUUCAGUGUGAAUCAUCAGAAAAGCUGCCGCGCGGGACCAGUCACGAGGAGGCACAGAAAAAGAAAUGGUGUAGGAGGCCAGCACAGCCUGGCAUCUGGGGACACUGUUUACUGGUUUAAUUCAACCAGCCACCAAAUACAACACAGCCUCUCGGACCAGGAAAUGAGUUGCAGGCAACAGGAGCAGGUCCCUGAAGGGCUGUGCCAUGGGGGCGUCUCCAUCAUCUCCAGUCUGCUCCCACGCAGCCAUCACAGAGAAUCACUGCCAUGGACAGGCUCUGAAGGCCAGCAUUGGGCACCUCACUGGCUCCCAGGCCUAGGUCGCUGGAUGACCCCCCCCCUUUUAUAGGCCAGGGCAGCUUAGCAAGCUUAGGUGCUCUCAAUUCAAGUCCUAAAGGCAGAGGCUCUUCUGCCCCAGGGCAUCUAUUCAAUCUGGAUGAAAGGAACAAGUCAGAAACCGUCAGACUUGUUUUUCCUGUGGAACUGAAAUCUUCCCUGUUCUUCACUGCAAGGAAAUGUACAUUUUUCUAAUGUGCAAUUCUCAAACCCAAAUGUGAAGUGUUAUUAUUACCGAGAACCGUGGGUGGUCUCUGCGGGGUUCAAACCAGCGGCACUCAUGGCGCACGAGCAGAAUCACCGAGGACUCCAGUCAGAAGCAGAUAGCCCUUCUUUCCCUCUCAUUUGAGCCAUAGACUCACACUUGGAUAAAGCAGGUCAACAAAUCAAUAAAUGUCAUUUUCUCAUUUGGCCAAACUCCAA